rnacentral:misc_RNA from 1 species
UUUUCAGUUUUUUUUGUGGAGUACUGUACAGAAUGAAGUUUGCAGCUCUCCUGCUUCUGGGAAUGUUGAUGGCACGAGCACAGAAUUUUGAUAGAUGUGACGUUGUCAACUUCUUGUGGUGGAUGAACGACCUCUGUCAUUUGACCCUUCUCAGAUAUUACGUCACCCUCGACGGUGUUCUGACACAGCAAGACAUCCACAGCACCCUCAACGCUGUCUGCAGUGAAGUUACCGAGGAGCGACGUCUGUGUGCAUUCCAGCGGACGGUGACCUGUGACAACCGCGACACCCUCCGCAGCUUUGCUGCUGUCAACGGCAUCUGUAUCGACGACCACCCCUCACCCUAUGCCCUGCAGCUACUUGCGUCCAUCCCUCCCCGAGUGAACGCUUCAUGCAUGGUAGGGGAAGCGACUGGAGUCAUCCGCAGCUGUACCGAAGUGGUUGCGUGGAGAGCAGCCUUUGGUUUCAACCGCUCCAUGUCGGAGGCCGCCAUUGUUCAGCAUCACCAGAUUCAGGUGAACAGGGGCGUAUUAUGUAUGUACUCGGGAGCGGACGGCAGAAUGGCGCGGUGUGCGGAGGAGGAGGGGAAGUUGGAGGGGUUGAAGGCUGCCUACCUGUUGUUCCUGCUCGCAUACGCUCCCCCGGGAUUCACCUAUAACCAUACCUACAUCACCGAUACCACUGACAGACAUUAGACAUCGCCUUCAUAAACAGUGUCACUGACAGACGAGGGCUGAUGUCCAUGUAGCCUCAGUAGCAACUAGUCUCUAGGCUACGGAGUAACUGCAAAUUGACUGAUGUCCACGUAGCCUAGAGUAGCAACCAUUGCCCCCAUACGGACCGUCUCUAGGCUACGGAUUAACUGUACAUUUGCUGGUGUCCAUGUAGCCCUCAGUAGCGACUAGUCUCUAGGCUACGGAGUAACUGCAAAUUGACUGAUGUCCACGUAGCCUAGAGUAGCAACCAUUGCCCCCAUACGGACCGUCUCUAGGCUACGGAUUAACUGUACAUUUGCUGGUGUCCAUGUAGCCCUCAGUAGCGACUAGUCUCUAGGCUACGGAGUAACUGCAAAUUGACUGAUGUCCACGUAGCCUAGAGUAGCAACCAUUGCCCCCAUACGGACCGUCUCUAGGCUACGGAUUAACUGUACAUUUGCUGGUGUCCAUGUAGCCCUCAGUAGCGACUAGUCUCUAGGCUACGGAGUAACUGCAAAUUGACUGAUGUCCACGUAGCCUAGAGUAGCAACCAUUGCCCCCAUACGGACCGUAUCUAGGCUACGGAUUAACUGUACAUUUGCUGGUGUCCAUGUAGCCCACAGUAGCGACCACUGCCACAAUACGGACCGUCUCCGGGCUGCAGAGUAACUGUAAAUUGACUGACAUAAAUGUAGCCUUCAGUAGCGACCACUGCCACAAUACGGACCUUCUCUAGGCUACGGAUUAACUGUAAAUUGACUUGACAUAGAUGUAGCCUUCAGUAGCGACCACUGCCACAAUACGGACCUUCUCUAGGCUACGGAUUAACUGUAAAUUGACUGACAUAGAUGUAGCCUUCAGUAGCGACCACUGCCACAAUACGGACCUUCUCUAGGCUACGGAUUAACUGUAAAUUGACUGACAUAGAUGUAGCCUUCAGUAGCGACCACUGCCACAAUACGGACCUUCUCUAGGCUACGGAUUAACUGUAAAUUGACUGACAUAGAUGUAGCCUUCAGUAGCGACCACUGCCACAAUACGGACCUUCUCUAGGCUACGGAUUAACUGUAAAUUGACUGACAUAGAUGUAGCCUUCAGUAGCGACCACUGCCACAAUACGGACCUUCUCUAGGCUACGGAUUAACUGUAAAUUGACUGACAUAGAUGUAGCCUUCAGUAGCGACCACUGCCACAAUACGGACCUUCUCUAGGCUACGGAUUAACUGUAAAUUGACUUGACAUAGAUGUAGCCUUCAGUAGCGACCACUGCCACAAUACGGACCUUCUCUAGGCUACGGAUUAACUGUAAAUUGACUGACAUAGAUGUAGCCUUCAGUAGCGACCACUGCCACAAUACGGACCUUCUCUAGGCUACGGAUUAACUGUAAAUUGACUGACAUAGAUGUAGCCUUCAGUAGCGACCACUGCCACAAUACGGACCUUCUCUAGGCUACGGAUUAACUGUAAAUUGACUGACAUAGAUGUAGCCUUCAGUAGCGACCACUGCCACAAUACGGACCUUCUCUAGGCUACGGAUUAACUGUAAAUUGACUGACAUAGAUGUAGCCUUCAGUAGCGACCACUGCCACAAUACGGACCUUCUCUAGGCUACGGAUUAACUGUAAAUUGACUUGACAUAGAUGUAGCCUUCAGUAGCGACCACUGCCACAAUACGGACCUUCUCUAGGCUACGGAUUAACUGUAAAUUGACUGACAUAGAUGUAGCCUUCAGUAGCGACCACUGCCACAAUACGGACCUUCUCUAGGCUACGGAUUAACUGUAAAUUGACUGACAUAGAUGUAGCCUUCAGUAGCGACCACUGCCACAAUACGGACCUUCUCUAGGCUACGGAUUAACUGUAAAUUGACUGACAUAGAUGUAGCCUUCAGUAGCGACCACUGCCACAAUACGGACCUUCUCUAGGCUACGGAUUAACUGUAAAUUGACUGACAUAGAUGUAGCCUUCAGUAGCGACCACUGCCACAAUACGGUGGGUGGGUGAGUUCGGUUUUACGCCGCUUUUAGCAAUAUUCCAGCAAUAUCACAGCAGAGGACACCAGAAAUGGGCUUCACACAUUGUACCCAUGUCGGGAAUCGAACCUGGGUCUUCGGCGUGACGAGCUAACGCUUUAACCACUAGGCUACCGACCGCCCCGCCACAAUACGGACCGUCUCUACUGUACAUUGGCUGAACAUGAACUCAAUAAAUAGAUACGAUGAAUGAUA